rnacentral:pre_miRNA from 1 species
GAGGGGUAAGAAUAGGUCGAUCGACCUGGGGUAAAAAGAAGUCAACCGUUGGGGUAAAACUAAAUCUGCUUCUUUUUAUCCCUAAAACUUUUUACCGUGGGUAAAAAGAAUCUUCUUGGGGUAUAAAAAGAACCUGAUUUAGACUUACCUCAAGGGUUGAUGUCUUCUUUUUACCACACAAAGAUCAAUCUCUUUUUACCCCAU